rnacentral:rRNA from 1 species
UACAGAGGGUGCAAACGUUGCUCGGAAUCAUUGGGCGUAAAGCGCACGUAGGCGGCUACUCAAGUCAGAGGUGAAAGCCCGGGGCUCAACCCCGGAACUGCCUUUGAAACUAGGUAGCUAGAAUCUUGGAGAGGUCAGUGGAAUUCCGAGUGUAGGGGUGAAAUUCGUAGAUAUUCGGAAGAACACCAGUGGCGAAGGCGACUGACUGGACAAGUAUUGACGCUGAGGUGCGAAAGCGUGGGGAGCAAACAGGAUUAGAAACCCCGGUAGU